UGGGGGAAAAUUAAUAUAAUAAAAUAAAUAAUAAAAAUAAUUAUAAAAAAUAAUUAAUGGGGGUUAAAGUAUUUUUUAGAAAAAAUUUAUUAAUUUAUAGUUUAAUAGUAUUGUGAAAGAAUUUUGAAAUAAAGUUAAAUAUCGAUUAUUAUUUAAGUAAAUUUAAUUUAUUGUAUCUUGUGUAUCAGAGUUUAUUAAUAAAAUAUUUUUAAAUAAAAAUAUCUCGAAUUUAAAAGAGAUAGUUAAUUACUAAAGUUAAUGUGACAUAAUUAUUUUAAAUAAUUAAUUUGAAAUGAAAUGUUAAUCGUUUUUAAAAAUAUCUAGUUUUUUUAGAAAAAAAUUUAAUUUUAAAUUAAUUUAAUAAUUUUUUAAAUUUCUUAUAUAAAAUUAUAUAUUUAAUUAAAUAUUUUAAGGGAUAAGCUUUAAAUUAAAUUUUUAUAAUAUUAAUAAAUUAUUUAAAUAUUUUAAAAUUUAUAUUUUUUAUAAAUUAUAAUUUUUUAUAAAUAAUUUUAUUUAUUUUAAAAUUUAAAUUUAUAUUUAAAUUUAUAUAGAAAAAUAAUUUUUAAUAAUAAAAAAUUAGUUAUAAUGAUAAAAUUAGUAUAUAAAAAAAAAAAUAAAAUAAAAUUAAUUAAAAUUAAUAAAAAGGAAUUCGGCAAAAAU
rnacentral:rRNA from 1 species